GACGAACGCUGGCGGCGUGCCUAAUACAUGCAAGUAGAACGCUGAAGGAGGAGCUUGCUCUUCUGGAUGAGUUGCGAACGGGUGAGUAACGCGUAGGUAACCUGCCUGGUAGCGGGGGAUAACUAUUGGAAACGAUAGCUAAUACCGCAUAACAGUAGAUGUUGCAUGACAUUUGCUUAAAAGGUGCAAUUGCAUCACUACCAGAUGGACCUGCGUUGUAUUAGCUAGUUGGUGGGGUAACGGCUCACCAAGGCGACGAUACAUAGCCGACCUGAGAGGGUGAUCGGCCACACUGGGACUGAGACACGGCCCAGACUCCUACGGGAGGCAGCAGUAGGGAAUCUUCGGCAAUGGACGAAAGUCUGACCGAGCAACGCCGCGUGAGUGAAGAAGGUUUUCGGAUCGUAAAGCUCUGUUGUAAGAGAAGAACGAGUGUGAGAGUGGAAAGUUCACACUGGGACGGAUCUACCAGAA
rnacentral:rRNA from 1 species